rnacentral:rRNA from 1 species
UACGACUACAUAUCAGGCAUAUCAAUAAGCGGAGGAAAAGAAACUAACAUAGGAUUCCCUUAGUAACGGCGAGUGAAGCGGGAAGAGCUCAAAUUUGAAAUCUUCAAGGUUCUACCUUGACGAAUUGUAGUUUAUAGAAGUGUUUUCUGUUAGUGGAGUUGGUAAAAGUUCUUUGGAAUAGGACAUCCAUAGAGGGUGAGAAUCCCGUAUUUGACCAUUAUUUCAACUUUGUGAUACACUUUCAAAGAGUCGGAUUGUUUGGGAAUGCAGUCCAAAAUGGGUGGUAAAUUUCAUCUAAAGCUAAAUAUUGGCGAGAGACCGAUAGCGAACAAGUACCGUGAGGGAAAGAUGAAAAGAACUUUGAAAAGAGAGUUAAACAGUACGUGAAAUUGUCAAAAGGGAAGCGUUUGACACCAGUGUUGUUUUCUCGAAAAUCAAUUAAAAAUGACAGGAUUUUGUGUUGUAUUGACUUUAUCAGCUUUCUAGCACUUUUUUCCUUGUCUUUUUUAAUGCACUUUUCGUUUAACAAGUCAACAUCAAUUUCUUUUGUUGUAAAAGGGUCAUUGGAAGGUGCUUUCUUUUCGGAGAAAGUGUUUAUAGCCUUUGGCUUCUGCAAUCGGAGAGAUUGAGGUCUGCAGCGUAGAUCCUUCGGGGUUAGAUGCAUUUGUGCUAAGUUAUAGCCUUUCAUAGACAACUUGUUGACUAUGAUCAGUCAUGUAGCUUACUCGCUUAUGCUAUUUUACCUACGCUUAGGAUGUUGACGCGCGUGUGUGCGUG